AACAAACGCUGGCGGCGUGUCUUAAGCAUGCAAGUUGAGCGGCAAGGAGGAGAGAUCCUCCCUAGAGCGGCGGACUGGUGAGUAACGCGUGGGUAAUCUAUCGUAGGCAUGGGGAUAGUCACUAGAAAUAGUGGGUAAUACCGAAUACGUUCCAUGAGGGGAGUACUUAUGGAAGAAAGGGUGCUAUGGCACUGGCCUUAGGUGAGCUCGCGUCCCAUUAGCUAGUUGGUGAGGUAAAGGCCCACCAAGGCGAUGAUGGGUAGCCGGCCUGAGAGGGUGUACGGCCACACUGGGACUGAGAUACGGCCCAGACUCCUACGGGAGGCAGCAGCUAAGAAUAUUCCGCAAUGGACGAAAGUCUGACGGAGCGACGCCGCGUGGAUGAAGAAGGCCGAAAGGUUGUAAAGUUCUUUUAUAUGUGAGCAGUGCUUUCUAUGUGAACAGCAUGGGGAAGAGAUAUUAGCAUAUGAAUAAGCAACGGA
rnacentral:rRNA from 1 species